rnacentral:rRNA from 29 species
AUUUGACCUCAAAUCAGGUAGGACUACCCGCUGAACUUAA